CCUACGGGAGGCUGCAGUGGGGGAUAUUGCACAAUGGGGGAAACCCUGAUGCAGCGACGCCGCGUGAGUGAUGAAGUAUUUCGGAAUGUAAAGCUCUAUCAGCAGGGAAGAAAAUUCCCGUACCUGACCACCACUCCCCGGCUAACUCCGUGCCAGCCGCCGCGGUCAUACGGAGGGGGCAAGGGUUAUCCGGAUUUACUGGGUGUAAAGGGAGCGUAGACGGUUAUGUAAGUCUGGAGUGAAAGCCCGGGGCCCAACCCCGGGACUGCUUUGGAAACUGUGUAACUGGAGUACAGGAGGGGCAGGCGGAAUUCCUGGUGUAGCGGUGAAAUGCGUAGAUAUCAGGAGGAACACCGGUGGCGAAGGCGGCCUGCUGGACUGAAACUGACGUUGAGGCUCGAAAGCGUGGGUAGCAAACAGGAUUAGAUACCCGGGUAGUC
rnacentral:rRNA from 1 species